UACGUAGGGUGCAAGCGUUAAUCGGAAUUACUGGGCGUAAAGCGUGCGCAGGCGGUUGUGCAAGACAGAUGUGAAAUCCCCGGGCUCAACCUGGGAAUUGCAUUUGUGACUGCACGGCUAGAGUGUGUCAGAGGGGGUAGAAUUCCACGUGUGAGCAGUGAAAUGCGUAGAGAUGUGGAGGAAUACCGAUGGCGAAGGCAGCCCCCUGGGAUAACACUGACGCUCAUGCACGAAAGCGUGGGGAGCAAACAGG
rnacentral:rRNA from 1 species